GGACAGGUGAGUAAUGUCUGGGAAACUGCCUGAUGGAGGGGGAUAUCUACUGGAAACGGUUACUCAUACCCCACAAAGUCCCAAGACCUGAGUGGGGGACCUUCUGGCCUCUUGCCAUCUUAUGUGCCCCGAUGGGAUUAGCUAGUAUGUGGGGUAACGGCUCACCUAGGCGACAAUCCCUAUCUGGUCUGAGAGGAUGACCUCCCCCACUGUGACUGAGACACGGUCCCCACUCCCCUAGGAGGCGCCACUGGGGAAUAUUGCACAAUGGGCGCAAGCCUGAUGAUCCCCUGCCCCGUGUGUGAAAAAAGCCUUCUGGUUGUAAAGCACUUUUUUGGGGAGGAAAGCGAUAAGGUUAAUAACCUUGUCGAUUGACGUUACCCGCAAAAAAAACACCGGCUAACUCCGUGCCACCACCCGCGGUAAUACAGAGGG
rnacentral:rRNA from 1 species